UACGGAGGGGGCAAGCGUUAUUCGGAAUUAUUGGGCGUAAAGAGCUCGUAGGCGGUGUGUCGCGUCGGUCGUGAAAACUUGGGGCUUAACCCUGAGCUUGCGGUCGAUACGGGCAUCACUGGAGUUCGGCAGGGGAGACUGGAAUUCCUGGUGUAGCGGUGAAAUGCGCAGAUAUCAGGAGGAACACCGGUGGCGAAGGCGGGUCUCUGGGCCGAUACUGACGCUGAGGAGCGAAAGCGUGGGGAGCGAACAGG
rnacentral:rRNA from 1 species